CUACGGGACGCUGCAGUGGGGAAUAUUGCACAAUGGGCGCAAGCCUGAUGCUGCCAUGCCGCGUGUAUGAAGAAGGCCUUCGGGUUGUAAAGUACUUUCAGCGGGGAGGAAGGGAGUAAAGUUAAUACCUUUGCUCAUUGACGUUACCCGCAGAAGAAGCACCGGCUAACUCCGUGCCAGCAGCCGCGGUAAUACGGAGGGUGCAAGCGUUAAUCGGAAUGACUGGGCGUAAAGCGCACGCAGGCGGUUUGUUAAGUCAGAUGUGAAAUCCCCGGGCUCAACCUGGGAACUGCAUCUGAUACUGGCAAGCUUGAGUCUCGUAGAGGGGGGUAGAAUUCCAGGUGUAGCGGUGAAAUGCGUAGAGAUCUGGAGGAAUACCGGUGGCGAAGGCGGCCCCCUGGACGAAGACUGACGCUCAGGUGCGAAAGCGUGGGGAGCAAACAGGAUUAGAUACCCGAGUAGUC
rnacentral:rRNA from 1 species